GGUUAAGCGACUAAGCGUACACGGUGGAUGCCCUGGCAGUCAGAGGCGAUGAAGGACGUGCUAAUCUGCGAAAAGCGUCGGUAAGGUGAUAUGAACCGUUAUAGCCGGCGAUGUCCGAAUGGGGAAACCCAGUGUGAUUCGUCACACUAUCGUUAACUGAAUACAUAGGUUAACGAGGCGAACCGGGGGAACUGAAACAUCUAAGUACCCCGAGGAAAAGAAAUCAACCGAGAUUCCCCCAGUAGCGGCGAGCGAACGGGGAGCAGCCCAGAGUCUGAAUCAGCUUGUGUGUUAGUGGAACGGUCUGGAAAGUCCGACGGUACAGGGUGAUAGUCCCGUACACCAAAAUGCACAGGUUGUGAACUCGAAGAGUAGGGCGGGACACGUGGUAUCCUGUCUGAAUAUGGGGGGACCAUCCUCCAAGGCUAAAUACUCCUGACUGACCGAUAGUGAACCAGUACCGUGAGGGAAAGGCGAAAAGAACCCCGGCGAGGGGAGUGAAAAAGAACCUGAAACCGUGUACGUACAAGCAGUGGGAGCACCUUCGGGUGUGACUGCGUACCUUUUGUAUAAUGGGUCAGCGACUUAUAUUCUGUAGCAAGGUUAACCGUAUAGGGGAGCCGCAGGGAAACCGAGUCUUAACUGGGCGUUAAGUUGCAGGGUAUAGACCCGAAACCCGGUGAUCUAGCCAUGGGCAGGUUGAAGGUUGGGUAACACUAACUGGAGGACCGAACCGACUAAUGUUGAAAAAUUAGCGGAUGACUUGUGGCUGGGGGUGAAAGGCCAAUCAAACCGGGAGAUAGCUGGUUCUCCCCGAAAGCUAUUUAGGUAGCGCCUCGUGAACUCAUCUUCGGGGUAGAGCACUGUUUCGGCUAGGGGGUCAUCCCGACUUACCAACCCGAUGCAAACUACGAAUACCGAAGAAUGUUAUCACGGGAGACACACGGCGGGUGCUAACGUCCGUCGUGAAGAGGGAAACAACCCAGACCGCCAGCUAAGGUCCCAAAGUCAUGGUUAAGUGGGAAACGAUGUGGGAAGGCACAGACAGCCAGGAUGUUGGCUUAGAAGCAGCCAUCAUUUAAAGAAAGCGUAAUAGCUCACUGGUCGAGUCGGCCUGCGCGGAAGAUGUAACGGGGCUAAACCAUGCACCGAAGCUGCGGCAGCGACACUAUGUGUUGUUGGGUAGGGGAGCGUUCUGUAAGCCUGCGAAGGUGACCUGUGAGGGUUGCUGGAGGUAUCAGAAGUGCGAAUGCUGACAUAAGUAACGAUAAAGCGGGUGAAAAGCCCGCUCGCCGGAAGACCAAGGGUUCCUGUCCAACGUUAAUCGGGGCAGGGUGAGUCGACCCCUAAGGCGAGGCCGAAAGGCGUAGUCGAUGGGAAACAGGUUAAUAUUCCUGUACUUGGUGUUACUGCGAAGGGGGGACGGAGAAGGCUAUGUUAGCCGGGCGACGGUUGUCCCGGUUUAAGCAUGUAGGCUGAUUGUCCAGGCAAAUCCGGAUAAUCAAGGCUGAGGUGUGAUGACGAGGCACUACGGUGCUGAAGUAACAAAUGCCCUGCUUCCAGGAAAAGCCUCUAAGCAUCAGGUAACAUUAAAUCGUACCCCAAACCGACACAGGUGGUCAGGUAGAGAAUACCAAGGCGCUUGAGAGAACUCGGGUGAAGGAACUAGGCAAAAUGGUGCCGUAACUUCGGGAGAAGGCACGCUGGUGUGUAGGUGAAGUCCCUGCGGAUGGAGCUGAGACCAGUCGAAGAUACCAGCUGGCUGCAACUGUUUAUUAAAAACACAGCACUGUGCAAACACGAAAGUGGACGUAUACGGUGUGACGCCUGCCCGGUGCCGGAAGGUUAAUUGAUGGGGUUAUCCGUAAGGAGAAGCUCUUGAUCGAAGCCCCGGUAAACGGCGGCCGUAACUAUAACGGUCCUAAGGUAGCGAAAUUCCUUGUCGGGUAAGUUCCGACCUGCACGAAUGGCGUAAUGAUGGCCAGGCUGUCUCCACCCGAGACUCAGUGAAAUUGAACUCGCUGUGAAGAUGCAGUGUACCCGCGGCAAGACGGAAAGACCCCGUGAACCUUUACUAUAGCUUGACACUGAACAUUGAGCCUUGAUGUGUAGGAUAGGUGGGAGGCUUUGAAGCGUGGACGCCAGUCUGCGUGGAGCCAACCUUGAAAUACCACCCUUUAAUGUUUGAUGUUCUAACGUUGGCCCCUGACCGGGGUUGCGGACAGUGUCUGGUGGGUAGUUUGACUGGGGCGGUCUCCUCCCAAAGCGUAACGGAGGAGCACGAAGGUUAGCUAAUCCUGGUCGGACAUCAGGAGGUUAGUGCAAUGGCAUAAGCUAGCUUGACUGCGAGCGUGACGGCGCGAGCAGGUGCGAAAGCAGGUCAUAGUGAUCCGGUGGUUCUGAAUGGAAGGGCCAUCGCUCAACGGAUAAAAGGUACUCCGGGGAUAACAGGCUGAUACCGCCCAAGAGUUCAUAUCGACGGCGGUGUUUGGCACCUCGAUGUCGGCUCAUCACAUCCUGGGGCUGAAGUAGGUCCCAAGGGUAUGGCUGUUCGCCAUUUAAAGUGGUACGCGAGCUGGGUUUAGAACGUCGUGAGACAGUUCGGUCCCUAUCUGCCGUGGGCGCUGGAGAAUUGAGGGGGGCUGCUCCUAGUACGAGAGGACCGGAGUGGACGCAUCACUGGUGUUCGGGUUGUCAUGCCAAUGGCACUGCCCGGUAGCUAAAUGCGGAAGAGAUAAGUGCUGAAAGCAUCUAAGCACGAAACUUGCCCCGAGAUGAGUUCUCCCUGAGACUUUAAGUCUCCUGAAGGAACGUUGAAGACGACGACGUUGAUAGGCCGGGUGUGUAAGCGCAGCGAUGCGUUGAGCUAACCGGUACUAAUGAACCGUGAGGCUUAACCUU
rnacentral:rRNA from 1 species